rnacentral:rRNA from 1 species
ACGCUCGACACCUACGGGAGGCAGCAGUGGGGAAUAUUGGGCAAUGGGCGAAAGCCUGACCCAGCAACGCCGCGUGAGGGAAGAAGGUUUUCGGAUUGUAAACCUCUGCCCUCAGGGACGAAGGACGUGACGGUACCUGAGGAGGAAGCCCCGGNUAACUACGUGCUAGCAGCCGCGGUAAUCUGAGCGGGCUGGCAAGGC